GAAAAGAACCCCGGGAGGGGAGUGAAAUAGAACCUGAAACCCUGCACUUACAAGCUGUGGAAGCACAUUUCUUGUGUGACCGCGUACUUUUUGUAGAACGGGCCAACGAGUUACGUUAAGUAGCAAGGUUAAGCACUUAAGGUGCGGAGCCGUAGCGAAAGCGAGUUUUAACUGAGCGUUCAGUUACUUGACGUAGACCCGAAACCGGGCGACCUACCCAUGAGCAGGAUGAAGCGAAAGUAAAAUUUCGUGGAGGUCCGAACCCACGAGCGUUGAAAAGCUCGGGGAUGACUUGUGGGUAGCGGUGAAAUUCCAAUCGAGCCCGGAGAUAGCUGGUUCUCCCCGAAAUAGCUUUAGGGCUAGCCUCAAGGUGAGAGAUACGGAGGUAGAGCACUGAAUGUCCUAGGGGGUAUUGCACCUACCGAAGACUAUCAAACUCCGAAUGCCGUCAUCUUAUACUUGGGAGUCAGACUGUGGGUGAUAAGAUUCAUAGUCGAAAGGGCAACAGCCCAGAUCGUCAGCUAAGGUCCCUAAAUGUAAGUUAAGUGGUAAAGGAUGUGGGAUUGCACAGACAACCAGGAUGUUGGCUUAGAAGCAGCCACUCAUUCAAAGAGUGCGUAAUAGCUCACUGGUCGAGUGAUCCUGCGCCGAAGAUUUCCGGGGCUAAAACUUACUACCGAAGCUACGGCAUCAGUAAUGAUGGGUAGGGGAGCUUCCCAUACGGGUUGAAGCAUGACCGUAAGGACAUGUGGACAGUAUGGGAGUGAGAAUGUUGGCAUGAGUAGCGAGAUGUGGGUGAGAAUCCCACAGGCCGUAAACCCAAGGUUUCCAGGGGAAGGUUCGUCCGCCCUGGGUUAGUCGGGACCUAAGCUGAGGCCGAAAGGCGUAGGUGAUGGACAACAGGUUGAUAUUCCUGUACUACCGAUAACCGUUUGAGAGAAGGGAUGACACAGUAGGAUAAGCUAAGCACACUGUUGGUUAUGUGUGCCCAAGCAUUGAGGCAGUCAAAGUAGGCAAAUCCGCUUUGAUAAUGCUGGGAUGUGAUGGGGAGCGAAAUUUAGUAGCGAAGUAGCUGAUUUCACACUGUCAAGAAAAGUCUCUAUCGAGGUUAAAGGUACCCGUACCGCAAACCGACACAGGUGGGUGAGGAGAGUAUCCUAAGGCCAGCGAGAGAACUGUUGUUAAGGAACUCGGCAAAAUGACCCCGUAACUUAGGGAUAAGGGGUGCCACCAUCAGGUGGCCGCAGAGAAUAGGCCCAAGCGACUGUUUACCAAAAACAUAGGUUUCUGCUAAGUCGCAAGACGAUGUAUAGGAGCUGACGCCUGCCCGGUGCUGGAAGGUUAAGGGGAUCUGUUAGAGCAAUCGAAGCAGUGAACUUAAGCCCCAGUAAACGGCGGCCGUAACUAUAACGGUCCUAAGGUAGCGAAAUUCCUUGUCGGGUAAGUUCCGACCCGCACG
rnacentral:rRNA from 1 species